GCCUACGGGGGGCAGCAGUGAGGAAUAUUGGUCAAUGGUCGGGAGACUGAACCAGCCAAGCCGCGUGAGGGAGGAAGGUACAGAGUAUCGUAAACCUCUUUUGUCAGGGAACAAAGGCGGGGACGUGUCCCCGGAUGAGUGUACCUGAAGAAAAAGCAUCGGCUAACUCCGUACCAGCAGCCGCGGUAAUACGGAGGAUGCGAGCGUUAUCCGGAUUUAUUGGGUUUAAAGGGUGCGCAGGCGGUCUGUUAAGUCAGCGGUCAAAGCCCAGGGCUCAACCCCGGCCCGCCGUUGCAACUGGCAGU
rnacentral:rRNA from 1 species